GGUGAGUCGGGUCCUAAGGCGAGGCCGACAGGCGUAGUCGAAUGGAUGAACGGGUGGAUAUUCCCGUACCGACCAUGGACCGGCAAAACCGAGACGGUGAGUACUAACCUCCGCCUCGUGGUGGUUCCUUCCUUCGGGUUGGUAUCGCCGCGUGGUGUUGGGAGCGUAGCCGCAGUAGGUCAGCGCAGGGGUGACACGGAAUGGGAGCCGGCCGCGGAGGUGGUUUUCCGUGGUCAAGCACGCAGCCAGUCAUGUAGGCAAAUCCGCAUGGCGCGCAUGGCGAGGUGUGAUGAUGGGAGCCGUUAUGGCUCGAUAUCCGGUUGUCCAGGCCGUCGAGAAAAGCCUCGGCGUGAGGGCCAUGGCCGCCCGUACCCCAAACCGACACUGGUGGUCAGGUAGAGAAUACCAAGGCGAUCGAGCGAAUCCUGGUCAAGGAACUCGGCAAAUCACUCCCGUUCCUUCGGUUUAAGGGAGACCCCCGAUGGUGAACACACUUGCUGUGGGAGCUUUUGGGGGUGGCACAGACCAGGGGGUAGCGACUGUUUACCAAAAACACAGGUGCAUGCGAAGGCGAAAGCCGCUGUAUAUGCACUGACGCCUGCCCGGUGCCGGAAGGUUAAGAGGAUCCGUCAAUCCCUUCGGGGACGAAGCGGUGAAUUCAAGCCCCGGUAAACGGCGGUGGUAACUAUAACCAUCCUAAGGUAGCGAAAUUCCUUGUCGGGUAAGUUCCGACCUGCACGAAUGGCGUAACGACUUCCCCACUGUCUCGACCAGGAGCUCGGCGAAAUUGCAGUACGAGUAAAGAUGCUCGUUAAGCGCAGAAGGACGAAAAGACCCCGGGACCUUUACUAUACCUUGGUAUUGGCGUUAGGCGCGGAUUGUGUAGCAUAGGCGGGAGGCUUUGAAACGGUGGCGCCAGCCAUCGCGGAGCCGCAAGGUGAAAUACCGCUCUGUUCUCGUUUGACGUCUAACCUCGACAAGUCAUCCUUGUCAGGGACAGUGCCUGGCGGGUAGUUCAACUGGGGCGGUUGCCUCCCAAAGAGUAACGGAGGCGCUCAAAGGUCCGCUCAGCCCGGUUGGCAAUCGGGUGUCGAGUGUAAUCGCACAAGCGGGCUUGACUGCGAGGACGACGGUCCGAGCAGGGACGAAAGUCGGAGAUAGUGAUCCGGUGCCGGCGCACGGGCGCGGCAUCGCUCAACGGAUAAAAGGUACCCCGGGGAUAACAGGCUGAUCAUUCCCAAGAGUCCAUAUCGACGGGAUGGUUUGGCACCUCGAUGUCGGCUCGUCGCAUCCUGGGGCUGGAGCAGGUCCCAAGGGUUCGGCUGUUCGCCGAUUAAAGCGGCACGCGAGCUGGGUUCAGAACGUCGUGAGACAGUUUGGUCUCUAUCCUCUGCGCUCGUUGGAAUCCUGAGGAGGCCUGCCCAUAGUACGAGAGGACCUGGGUGGACGAACCUCUGGUAUGCCGGUUGUCGCGCCAGCGGCACGGCCGGUUGGCUACGUUCGGGAGGGAUAACCGCUGAAAGCAUCUAAGCGGGAAGCCUGCUCCAAGAUUAGGAUUCCAUGGAUCUUCGAGAUCCUGUAGCCCGCAUGUUGAACACGUGUUUGAUAGGCCGGAGGUGGAAGCCCCGUGAGGGGUGGAGCCGACCGGUACUAACGGGCGACGGCGACACAAC
rnacentral:rRNA from 1 species